CAUGCCAAAGUCACCAGAUUGUAACUAGUUUAUAAUAACGUGCCUUUCAAGAAGGUGCGCCACAGGGAGUGAAGUUGGAACAGAUUUUAAAAGCUAAAAAGUUGCGGGUUAUUGAAGUCCAUAUUUUAGUGGAAUUACAGUAAUAUCUUCCUAUUUCAGAAGUAUACUAUUAAUUUAGCAUCAAAACACGGGUUUAACGUUACAAAUGGUAGAUGGAGUCCAGAUUUCUAGCACUCAAUUUCCUCUAGUAUGCUUGCAUGGGAAACAUUUAACCAACUAUUUUACAUUGAUCAGUUAAAAAGAAAUGCAGGUCUGUUGUAUCUGAAAAUAAAGAAGGUAGCUUUGCAAUAUUUCAAAGCUGAUUCUUUCAGAUGCUUAUAUUUGCAACAUUUUGUAUCAGUGAUAUUUGAGUAUAAACAACUGAAGCUUUGCCAUUAUUUUGACCACAAUCUGCAUUAAAACAUUUGACACUACAAAGCUGCAGAAUCAAUUUUGUAGCAUUAAAUCAGACUGCAGUUUAUUAAUUUUAGGCUUUCUCAACUGCUUCCCUAAUAAAAGCACUUCAAAAGCAUUCCAGGGGUAUGUGGAUUAGGUGGGUUACAGGGAUGGGUCUGGGUGGGAUGCUUCGAGGGUCAGUGUGGACUUGUUAGGCUAAAGGGCCUGUUUCCACACUGUAGAGAUUCUAUGAUGAUGAAUUAGAACGCUGCAGGCAAAGUGCUUUGGGAAGUUUUACAGAGCUUUGACAUGGCGAUGUGCAAAUGAAAGGUUAUCCAUUUUUCUUCCAAAGAAGGUGGUAACCAUUUAUUUGUACUAGUAGCCAUUUUGAACCUCAUAUUCAAAAAAAAGUUAAUUUGAAAUCCACUACAUGUGUCCUGAAAGACAAAGAAAUUCCUCCAACCAUGAUCUUGGAUAAUCUGUUUGUGGCUUUUCUGCAUCUAUAAAAGAGGUUUCAAUCCUUGCUACAAAAGCUCAGCAGGUCUAGCAGCAUCUGUGAAGGAAAAAAAAAGUUAACAUUUUGGGUCCGGUGACCGUUCCUCAGAAGGGGUUCUGAGGAAGGGUCACCAGACCCGAAACAUUAACGCUGGUUUUUCCUUCACAGAUACUGACAGACCUGCUGAGCUUUUCCAGCAACUUUGUCUUUGUUCCUGAUUUACAGCAUCUGCAGUUCUUUCAGUUUUUAUUCAAUCCUUGCCACCUUGGAACCAUUCUCAGCCUUCACAGGUUUUGAAUAUUUUACAAGUCAUCUUGCAUCACAACUUCUUUUCACAAUCAAAUUCUAGAAAUUGAUAAGUUACCAUACCUGAAGAACAAACACACCACAGUCGCUAUCGUUUUUCUGUUGAGGAAUACACUAUAGGAGAGAAUAACACAGGCAUUAAAUACUAUACAUCAGUAGUUCAUUGUCCAAGUUAUUUUAAAACAAUUUUGCUUUCAUAACCUUCAGCUUACUUUGGGGGAGAAAGCAGAGUGUGGGCCUGCAAAGAAAUGCACCAGGGAUAGAGAAUAUAUGGACAGCAAGUGGGACUUGCAGUCCCCACUUACCUGGGGAGAAAAAAAACAGAUCUGCAAGCAAACACACCAGGGAUAGAGAAUAUAUAAACAGAGCAUGAGGGUAUGAGCCAUCCCUCACCUGGGAGGCAACAGACAGCACGCCUGCAAAGAAAUGCAGAGAGGACAAAGACAACACAGCACUAGGCUCAAGGCCUACAGAUACCUGGGAGAGCACGCACAGGGCAUAACUGCGAGGAAACACACAGGAGACAAAGAACUAGGCUUAAGGCGUACACUUGCCUGGGAGAGCGCGCAGAGGGGUGUGUUUUGAGAGUUCUAGAAUACCAGGUUUGAAGAAAAAUCCAAAGACUGACAUCACAGCAAUGUCUUACGCCAGGUUGAGAAGUAUCGGGUUGCAAAGAGCUAAAUUCAUUGGACCUGAUUGUGGAGUAAUUUUUACUUUUUGCUUUCUCAAUUGCAGUUGAAGGUAAUUAAUCCAAAUGUACACUUUCAGACAUUGCAGAACUGUUCAGCUGUGUGGAAUACCAUGCUGUGCGAUGUGGGAAGUCGUGGAUGCUUCAAGUGGCAGGAAUCUUGAGCCCUGGGAUUGGAACAUCAGUGGCACUGCAGUCACUAUGUCACUCCCACACAACUGUGAACUAUGUGGAUAAUUGGAAAGAGUAAAGAAGCAGCAGCUUUUAGUAACCACCAAGGCACACACUGAGUUUGAAAUGGAAAUCAGCGUGCUGUCCAACUGGAAGCAGAAGACCCGAGACCACUGACUGGAAAGUGACGGUCAUAAUAUGUCCAUAGUUGUUGUUGUGCUAAGUAUUAUUCAUAAUUGUAAUAAAGUUUCCUAAGUUACUUCA